rnacentral:lncRNA from 1 species
CCGGUGUUUGACAACUGGCAGAAAAUUCCUGUCCACCCUGAUUUCCUUUGGCAGCUUUCAUUUAAUUAGGUCCUCAUUGCAGCAUCUUUGUCCAGACGGCACCUUAGCUCCAUGCCCAUCGGGUUGCUCCCAGCUCACAGGACAGAAUAAUCUUCAGGGCAUGGAAACCUGCAGAGAACAUCUGCUGGAUCUUCAUGUCUCUAUGACAAAGGUGAAAUCUUCAUCUGUGGUGCAGAGCUGCUUGGAGAGCAGAGGGCUUUGAGCUGAGCACAACCCUGCCCAACCACACUGUCCUCCGUAGAGCAUGAAGAUGGGGACAAUGCAUGCAGAUAUGUUGUGGAAGGACCCACAUCUGUGUUCUGCUCCCACGAGCAGGGCAGGAGCUGCCAGCAGGGAAGAAGGGGCUCUGUGCUGUGCACACGGGAUGACUUCAAUGGGUUCCUGGGCGUUUUCCAUGACUGCGUACCUUUCUAUUAAAAAAUGACUAAUUAGAAUUUUCUUUCUGCAUUUGGCUUUGGAAAAAAAAUUAAAAAUGCAUAAGCCCCUCUGUACUGCAUAUGUAUAUUUUAUUGCUGUAUAAUUGGGAUCUUCAUUAGUUCCCUGGGUGGCGAAGUGACAGCCUUUUCAUGUGAUACAGACACUAAUGCAUUGCGAUACAGUUCUCUUUUAUUUUUUUUUCGAGAUGCUCAUUGCUAAACACAUGCAAUACUCUCUAAUAAGGAUUUAUGCAUAAAGCCUGUUUUUUGGGCAAUGCUCUCCACUGUAGCACCAUUGAAAGAAUCUGACUGCAGCAGGAGUGGGGGCGGGAGGGCCACUUGGAGAUGGAGAAAGUAUUAAUCACGUUAAUCCCAAACCCCAGGGUAUAAUUGCUGCUGCUCUCAAAACAAAAUGUUACUUUUAUCUAAAUUACUAAAGUGGGAAAAGUGCAAUCCAGUUUAAUUUAGCACUGGUUGAGAAGGAAGGGAGCAGCAGGGCUCUGGGCACCAGCACUGUCCCAUCUCUUUGAGGACCUGAGGUCUUCCAAAGCCAGGGGCGGCUCACCUGGAACCAUCAGGGAUGGGAAGGAGACCGAAGGGAUGAUGAAAACUUUAGGUGGAAGGCGGCCAACCCUGUGAGGGAGAGGAGAUUCCCAAUCAUCUUCUUCAUCUUUUUUUCU